rnacentral:rRNA from 1 species
GACGAGGGAUCCUAGCGUUGCUCGGAAUUAUUGGGCGUAAAGCGGGUGUAGGUGGCUUGGUAAGUCGGGUGUGAAAGCCCAGGGCUCAACCCUGGAAGUGCAUUCGAUACUGCUGAGCUUGAGUGCGAGAGAGGUUAAUAGAAUACCUGGUGUAGCGGUGGAAUGCGCAGAUAUCAGGAGGAACACCAAUAGCGAAGGCAGCUCGCUGGGACGUUACUGACACUGAGGCGCGAAAGCGUGGGGAGCGAACAGG